GGAGUGUGCAAGCGUUACUCGGAAUCACUGGGCAUAAAGCGCACGUAGGCGGAGAUGCAUGUCCGGGGUGAAAUCCCCCAGCUCAACUGGGGAACUGCUUCGGAAACUGCAUUUCUUGAGGACGAGAGGGGAGAGUGGAACUUCUGGUGGAGCGGUGAAAUGCGUAGAUAUCAGAAGGAACACCGGUGGCGAAAGCGACUCUCUGGCUCGUAUCUGACGCUGAGGUGCGAAAGCUUGGGUAGCAAACAGGAUUAGAUACCCUGGUAGUCCAAGCCGUAAACGAUGGGCACUAGGCAGGGGGGGUUCCGAUGCCCUCCUUGCUGGAGCUAAUGUGUUAAGUGCCCCGCCUGGGGAGUACAGUCGCAAGGCCG
rnacentral:rRNA from 1 species